UUAGGGCUUAUCUCCUUCUCACAUUUCCAAGGGCAGACAUAACCAAUGGUGGACGACACAAACGUCGAUAGAGACGCAUCGAGCAGCCACCCUACCAAGGAAGAGCUAGAAGCAAUGUUUGAAAGCUUCGAAAGUUCCUGCUGUGACGAAGUCAUGUUUCCUGUCUCUCAGACUCACUGCCUUCUGGUCUUACAGCCUGGAACACCUAUGCUAUCAACGCUCUUGACAAGGUGCUGGUAGGUUGGUUUUUAACAUUAGGCUUAAGGAUAGAUUAAACAAGUAUCUUUUGGCUUGGAUGGUUUAAGAAAAACAUAUAUCAUACUAUAGGCAAAAUCUUUUGGUUCUGAUACCAUACGGAAUCAGACAAAACCCAGGAUAAAAUAUAUUGAAUAUAUUUUAGAUUGUUGCAUAACUAUAAAUAUAUUUUAGUAGAUAAAAAUCCUGUUGUAUAUCUAGAACAAGAAUCUUUUACUGAUGCUGAUAAUUAUCGUUUCUCCGGUAUUAACCAGUAACAUUUAUAUAGCUGCAUCAAAAGCAAACACUGAAUGAGAAAAAAUAGAUUCUAUUCUCAAAAUUUAACUGCUUAUUUAUGUGUAAGACCCGUAGUAAGCAGAAGGUGAGUAAAGAGGUACUUGAGACUAAAGUUUUGGAAGAUGAGCAAGAUCCACAACUUCCAAUGACUAAUGCUACUUAUGGUAAGCUUCUUGGUCCCUUAGAUCGCUAGAGGAUAGAGUUCUCGAAUGGAGCCCACAUAGACGGUCUGGGACUUGCGACCGGAAGUCAUAUUUUAAAUGCUUUGUUUGGUCAAGGAGAUUUGUCCUGGUAUUCCACGAGCUGUCAAUGACUGGCGCUCCAAUCUCAAUGAUGGAGCUGGCUUCAGAGCUUUUGAGCUGUGGUGCAACAGUUUCUGCAGUAGUUCUCAGCAGGAGAGGUGGAUUGAUGCAAGAGCUCAAUAGGAGAAGAAUCAAAGUGGUUGAUCACUGCUAUAGCUCUUUUAAAACAUUUUUAAAUAUGCUACCUUGUUAAGAUUGACGCAAAUAUAGACAAGGGUGUUAAAGUGUUGUCUAAAUACUCCAAAUUCAUCCCAAA